rnacentral:rRNA from 1 species
AGAGUUUGAUCAUGGCUCAGAUUGAACGCUGGCGGCAGGCCUAACACAUACAAGUCGAGCGGAAACGAGUUAUCUGAACCUUCGGGGGACGAUAACGGCGUCGAGCGGCGGACGGGUGAGUAAUGCCUAGGAAAUUGCCCUGAUGUGGGGGAUAACCAUUGGAAACGAUGGCUAAUACCGCAUAAUACCUACGGGUCAAAGAGGGGGACCUUCGGGCCUCUCGCGUCAGGAUAUGCCUAGGUGGGAUUAGCUAGUUGGUGAGGUAAUGGCUCACCAAGGCGACGAUCCCUAGCUGGUCUGAGAGGAUGAUCAGCCACACUGGAACUGAGACACGGUCCAGACUCCUACGGGAGGCAGCAGUGGGGAAUAUUGCACAAUGGGCGCAAGCCUGAUGCAGCCAUGCCGCGUGUGUGAAGAAGGCCUUCGGGUUGUAAAGCACUUUCAGUCGUGAGGAAGGUAGUGUAGUUAAUAGCUGCAUUAUUUGACGUUAGCGACAGAAGAAGCACCGGCUAACUCCGUGCCAGCAGCCGCGGUAAU